CUUCUGUCGGAUUUUCCAGCACCACACAAAGAGCUGUCUUCGAGACCAGACACCCUACCCCUUCUUCCUUCUGCUUGGGUACUUCCUUCUGCUUGGCUCCCAGAGUGAGAAACUAGGCAUUCAUUUGUUCAAUCUUCAAACAUAGUCUAUUUGAAAAUACCUCUCCCCUAUUGACACCCUAAUGUCUAAAACACCACCAUAAACAUUUUCAUCCUCCUUUUGUGCCCCCUAUUAAGAAGCAAACCUGUGAAGCUACUAUCGUUUAUCAUCAGUGUGAAUGCACUGAGAUUAGUCAAGAACAACUUUUUUUUUUCUUUUCUUUCUUUUUUGAGACGCAGUCUCGCUCUGUUGCCCAGGGUGGAGUGCAGUGGCACAAUCUCGGCUCACUGCAACCUCUGUCUCCCGGGUUCGAGCAAUUCUCUGCCUCAGCCUCCCAAGUAGCGGGGAUUACAGGCGCCCACCACCAUGCCCGGCUAAUUUUUUUUUGUAUUUUUAGUAGAAACAAGGUUUCACCAUCUUGGCCAGGCUGGUCUUGAACUCCUGACCUUGUGAUCCACCUGCAUUGGCCUCCCAAAGUGCUGGGAUUACAGACAUGAGCCACUGUGCCCGGCCAUAUGUUUUUCUUAAGAGAGAAAGGAAAGAGCUGGAAGGCACGGGGGUGGGAGGGCCUGAAGAAGAGCAUAGGUUGGGUGGGGUGGGGCAUGGACUGAUUUGGCCUCUUUGUCUUGAUGCCAGGCCAGACCUGAGGGAGUGGGUAUGCUCUUGGGGAGUACACAGGCAGUACCAUGCUGUCAUUAUCUUUGCUUUUGUCUUGGGGGUUUAGCCAAAGAUUUCAUCCGGCACUUGAUGGAGAAGGACCCAGAGAAAAGAUUCACCUGUGAGCAGGCCUUGCAGCACCCAUGGAUUGCAGGAGAUACAGCUCUAGAUAAGAAUAUCCACCAGUCGGUGAGUGAGCAGAUCAAGAAGAACUUUGCCAAGAGCAAGUGGAAGCAAGCCUUCAAUGCCACGGCUGUGGUGCGGCACAUGAGGAAACUGCAGCUGGGCACCAGCCAGGAGGGGCAGGGGCAGACGGCGAGCCAUGGGGAGCUGCUGACACCAGUGGCUGGGGGUGAGGAGCGGGCUCUGCAGAAGGGCAUGGGUGGUCCACAGAGGUGCACCCGGGCUGGAGUGGAGGGCCUGCCCCUGCGGCCACCUCUGUUCUGUCUUCCCAUGCAGGGCCGGCAGCUGGCUGUUGCUGUCGAGACUGCUGCGUGGAGCCGGGCACAGAACUGUCCCCCACACUGCCCCACCAGCUCUAGGGCCCUGGACCUCGGGUCAUGAUCCUCUGCGUGGGAGGGCUUGGGGGCAGCCUGCUCCCCUUCCCUCCCUGAACCGGGAGUUUCUCUGCCCUGUCCCCUCCUCACCUGCUUCCCUACCACUCCUCACUGCAUUUUCCAUACAAAUGUUUCUAUUUUAUUGUUCCUUCUUGUAAUAAAGGGAAGAUAAAACCA
rnacentral:sRNA from 1 species